rnacentral:rRNA from 1 species
GAUGAACGCUGGCGGCGUGCCUAAUACAUGCAAGUCGAGCGAACGGACGAGAAGCUUGCUUCUCUGAUGUUAGCGGCGGACGGGUGAGUAACACGUGGAUAACCUACCUAUAAGACUGGGAUAACUUCGGGAAACCGGAGCUAAUACCGGAUGAUAUUUUGAACCGCAUGGUUCAAAAGUGAAAGACGGUCUUGCUGUCACUUAUAGAUGGAUCCGCGCUGCAUUAGCUAGUUGGUAAGGUAACGGCUUACCAAGGCAACGAUGCAUAGCCGACCUGAGAGGGGGAUUCGGCCACCCGGAACCGAGAACAGGUCCAGACCCCUAAGGGAGGCCGGAGGAGGGAAUCCUUCGGAAUGGGCGAAAGGCCUACGGAGCAAACGCGGGUGAGGUAUGAAGGUUCUCCGAUCCGAAAAACUCUGUAUUAGGGAAGAACAUAUGUGUAAGUAACUGUGCACAUCUUGACGGUACCUAAUCAGAAAGCCACGGCUAACUACGUG